rnacentral:lncRNA from 1 species
AGUAAGGAAAAAAGUGAGCGUUCAUAGCAAACCGACGCCCUUCGCGCAACGGUAACGUUAAGACCGACAUUGGCGCUGGACGAUCGACGUUGCCUCUUACGGUUUUCUAAAACUGCUGCUUCAGCUUCACAACAGAACGCUGGACUGAUCCUGUGCUGGUACAAUCUUCGUUCUCUCUCAGUUGAAGGUUUAAACAAGACCGAAGAAGUUGCAAUAUGUUCUGCGCAUACCUUGUGAAGACUUUCCUGUUCGGACUUUUUUGUUCAAACUACUGCAAGCUACCGGACAACACGACUGUUCUCUCAAGUGGACAGACAACGAAUAUGGCGAUUCCUUGUGUUCAGUACAGUUGCAACAAGGGAAACUUGACAACGAAGGAAUGCCGCAAAGGAGGAUACCCAGACUGCUUGACACCUCUGGCAGCAGAGAGCCCAUAUCCUGACUGUUGUCCUCCAAUGAUGUGUUCGUAACAUCAAUAAAUAUGCGACGCACAGACCAA